rnacentral:rRNA from 1 species
GACGAGGGGUCCUAGCGUUGUUCGGAAUCAUUGGGCGUAAAGGGUGCGUAGGCGGUUUGGCAAGUCUUGUGUGAAAUCUUUGGGCUCAACCCAAAGUCUGCAUAAGAAACUGCCGGGCUUGAGUAUGGGAGAGGUGAGUGGAAUUUCCGGUGUAGCGGUGAAAUGCGUAGAUAUCGGAAGGAACACCUGUGGCGAAAGCGGCUCACUGGACCAUUACUGACGCUGAGGCACGAAAGCUAGGGGAGCAAACAGG